rnacentral:rRNA from 1 species
AUUGAACGCUGGCGGCAUGCCUUACACAUGCAAGUCGAACGGUAACAGGUUAAGCUGACGAGUGGCGAACGGGUGAGUAAUAUAUCGGAACGUGCCCAGUCGUGGGGGGUAACGUAGCGAAAGCUACGCUAAUACCGCAUACGAUCUACGGAUGAAAGCGGGGGAUCGCAAGACCUCGCGCGAUUGGAGCGGCCGAUAUCAGAUUAGGUUGUUGGUGAGGUAAAAGCUCACCAAGCCUGCGAUCUGUAGCUGGUCUGAGAGGACGACCAGCCUCACUGGAACUGAGACACGGUCCAGACUCCUACGGGAGGCAGCAGUGGGGAAUUUUGGACAAUGGACGCAAGUCUGAUCCAGCAAUGCCGCGUGCAGGACGAAGGCCUUCGGGUUGUAAACUGCUUUUGUACGGAACGAAACGGUGAGCUCUAAUACAGUUUGCUAAUGACGGUACCGUAAGAAUAAGCACCGGCUAACUACGUGCCAGCCGCCGCGGUAA